UUGAACGCUGGCGGCAGGCCUAACACAUGCAAGUCGAGCGGUAGCACAGAGAGCUUGCUCUCGGGUGACGAGCGGCGGACGGGUGAGUAAUGUCUGGGAAACUGCCUGAUGGAGGGGGAUAACUACUGGAAACGGUAGCUAAUACCGCAUAAUGUCGCAAGACCAAAGUGGGGGACCUUCGGGCCUCAUGCCAUCAGAUGUGCCCAGAUGGGAUUAGCUAGUAGGUGGGGUAACGGCUCACCUAGGCGACGAUCCCUAGCUGGUCUGAGAGGAUGACCAGCCACACUGGAACUGAGACACGGUCCAGACUCCUACGGGAGGCAGCAGUGGGGAAUAUUGCACAAUGGGCGCAAGCCUGAUGCAGCCAUGCCGCGUGUGUGAAGAAGGCCUUCGGGUUGUAAAGCACUUUCAGCGGGGAGGAAGGCGGUGAGGUUAAUAACCUCAUCGAUUGACGUUACCCGCAGAAGAAGCACCGGCUAACUCCGUGCCAGCAGCCGCGGUAAUACGGAGGGUGCAAGCGUUAAUCGGAAUUACUGGGCGUAAAGCGCACGCAGGCGGUCUGUCAAGUCGGAUGUGAAAUCCCCGGGCUCAACCUGGGAACUGCAUUCGAAACUGGCAGGCUAGAGUCUUGUAGAGGGGGGUAGAAUUCCAGGUGUAGCGGUGAAAUGCGUAGAGAUCUGGAGGAAUACCGGUGGCGAAGGCGGCCCCCUGGACAAAGACUGACGCUCAGGUGCGAAAGCGUGGGGAGCAAACAGGAUUAGAUACCCUGGUAGUCCACGCCGUAAACGAUGUCGAUUUGGAGGUUGUGCCCUUGAGGCGUGGCUUCCGGAGCUAACGCGUUAAAUCGACCGCCUGGGGAGUACGGCCGCAAGGUUAAAACUCAAAUGAAUUGACGGGGGCCCGCACAAGCGGUGGAGCAUGUGGUUUAAUUCGAUGCAACGCGAAGAACCUUACCUGGUCUUGACAUCCACAGAACUUUCCAGAGAUGGAUUGGUGCCUUCGGGAACUGUGAGACAGGUGCUGCAUGGCUGUCGUCAGCUCGUGUUGUGAAAUGUUGGGUUAAGUCCCGCAACGAGCGCAACCCUUAUCCUUUGUUGCCAGCGGUCCGGCCGGGAACUCAAAGGAGACUGCCAGUGAUAAACUGGAGGAAGGUGGGGAUGACGUCAAGUCAUCAUGGCCCUUACGACCAGGGCUACACACGUGCUACAAUGGCAUAUGCAAAGAGAAGCGACCUCGCGAGAGCAAGCGGACCUCAUAAAGUAUGUCGUAGUCCGGAUUGGAGUCUGCAACUCGACUCCAUGAAGUCGGAAUCGCUAGUAAUCGUAGAUCAGAAUGCUACGGUGAAUACGUUCCCGGGCCUUGUACACACCGCCCGUCACACCAUGGGAGUGGGUUGCAAAAGAAGUAGGUAGCUUAACCUUCGGGAGGGCGCUUACCACUUUGUGAUUCAUGACUGGGGUG
rnacentral:rRNA from 1 species